rnacentral:rRNA from 1 species
ACGCGGGGGAUGCUUAGUAGCGGCGAGUGAGCGGCAGAGCUCAAAUUUGAAAUCUGGUACUUUCAGUAUCCGAGUUGUAAUUUGAAGAAAGUUAUCUUGGAGUUGGCCCUUGUCUAUGUUCCUUGGAACAGGACGUCACAGAGGGUGAGAAUCCCGUGCGAUGGGGUGCCCAUUCUAUGUAAGAUACUUUCGACGAGUCGAGUUGUUUGGGAAUGCAGCUCUAAGUGGGUGGUAAAUUCCAUCUAAAGCUAAAUAUUGGCGAGAGACCGAUAGCGAACAAGUACAGUGAUGGAAAGAUGAAAAGAACUUUGAAAAGAGAGUGAAAAAGUACGUGAAAUUGUUGAAAGGGAAGGGUAUUUGAUCAGACUGAUAUUCAGUUAACACUGUUCCUUGUGGAUGGUGCUCUAGCUUUUUAUUGGGCCAGCAUCAGUUUAGGUGGCAGGAUAAGAACUGUUGAACGUGGCUCUUCGGAGUGUUAUAGCUUCAGUUGAUACUGCCUAUCUAGACUGAGGUCUGCGGCUUUGCCUAGGAUGCUGGCGUAAUGGUCUAAUACCGCCCGUCUUGAACCACGGACC